AUCAUUUCACAUUGCCUUGCCAAUCAAGCUUGAUUCGGACCUCAUUUCAGUUGGUUUUGGACCUUAGUGCGUUGCUUCAUGGGCCUGUACACGUCCAUGUAAGCUUGAACAUGACAUUGCCAAAUUUGGAAGAAAUUGCAAGUGUGCAAAUAACACUUGAAUUUGCUAUAAAUAGAGACACUCUGAGCUCAUUUCAAGGCAUCCUUGCGCGCCCGUUUUGCCUCCACU
rnacentral:lncRNA from 1 species